UUCGGAAUUGGAUAAUCGAGGAAAGACCUACUAGUGAAUUGAGUUAGCGUGAUUUGAGGUAAGUAUCUUGCCUAACUUUGAAAUCUCCUUACGUUAUUCCUAAACAAAAGGCAAGGGGGCAAGAUUGGAAAGCAGGACUGAUUACACGAAGGUGUCCCUUCCAUUAUGUCAAUCAAGCCAGCGAAUUGAUGCAGAGAUUUACAGACUGGUUGAAGACGGAUGCAAUGAUUCCAAGCCAUUCAGAUUAGUUGGAAUUGAUAUUCCAAAGUCGUUAUUUACCGAGCUUAUGGACUCUACUUCUGAACUUGCGGAUGAAGUUUCAGAAGGCCCAAGUAUCGAUUUUGGAAGUGAAGAUGGAGUUAAUUAGAAGAUUAAAGUAUCUGAAGUACUUGAUAUUGAAGAAAUGGCAUGGGCCCCAAGAUAUGGGUUGAAAGGCAUGAUUGAUGCAUCCUUGCGAGUAAAUGUAAAAUUCAACACCAGUAAACAUAAUGAGAUGAUUAUGCCUCUCGAAUUUAAAACUGGGAAGGCAACAAAUGGA